CACUCUGUGGAUUUAGAUCUCAACCUAGCUCAUGUGGAGAGCAGCCAAAAGAAGAGAAAGGCCAAACGACUUGGAAGUCUUGAAAGAGGCCUGGAUAAAGUGAUUACAGUGCUUACAGCAGGCACAAAGAAGUGAUUCAGCUGACAGGGGCCAAGAAAGCUUAAGCUACACCCUGAAAUGCCAAACAAAGCCAGAUUUUGGCAAAGAAUCCAUGAAGUUUGAGGCAGAAGUGUGUGGGCUCAGUAAGGACGAAGCAGUUGGUAUCAGAAGACAGAGGCUCAGAGGGGAUGCGUGGGUCUACAAGAGACUGGUGGAAGACAUUUCAUCCAGCUGCCAAGUGUGACUGCUGCUCAGCAAGCCACAGUGCUGUGCUGAGACUUUAAUCAUCAUUUUAGAAAAAUCGGUUUGGAAAUGUAAUUUGUGAUCUCCUUCACAGCUGUGUUUGAGAAAUCUUGUCAGCUCUUACAGUUUUAACCACCCCCUUUGUGUGUAUGCCCACGGCACGUUUCCUUUUCUCACAAAAUUGUCAACUUUUGCUACACGUUCUGCAGAUGUAACUUGACUGAAAUAAAAUUCCUUAAACUACCCCA